rnacentral:lncRNA from 1 species
AGAACAGCUGAGGUAGCGUUCAGUUUCAGCCCCAGUGCCAUUAUGAUGGAUGUUUACAUCUCUUCAUUGAGAGCCAAUUAUCUCGCUUUUGUGUGAGGCCCAAGGAUCACUCAUGCUGCCUGGCUGCACAGAGCACUGUUGGAUCUAGCUGAACGAAUUGUUUUCUGUCUCUGGAUAAUAUAUGGCUUGCAAGGCCCAACCUGGCAGACUGUGUGCUCCACAGCUUUUACAUUCUCUUCUCAUCCCUCUCACUGUCUCUGCUCUGCCCCACCAUGGAUCCUUGGCUACAGCAUUUCCUCAGUAAGUGGAUCCCUCUGAACCUUCUUCACUACUGACCUCCCAGCAUAAAUCUCCAUUAAAGAAAUGCCUGAGGAAGUGAAGAAGAUAUCUUAAGAAAGUCAUCUUCCACUGAUCUUGCUAUGAGAUAUGAAUAUGGGGAAGAAGCUGAACCAACUGAAGCAGUAGUCUUGGUCUGCUCAACAAGCCUGAUGAAAGAAAAGGUUUUAAUAGAAAGAAAACUUCUCAGAUGAGACGGAAAGGAGGGAGAGAAAACAGCAGUUGAGAAGAUGGAGAUAACAUUUUCACCCAAAUUGGGCUAUUUCCAAAUGUUAGGAAGAAAGGAAAAUGAGCAAAGUAGUUGGUACAGAAUUUCUCAUCUCAUAAAUGCAAACUUCCAGGAACCCUUCUUUAUACAUUGUAUUACAGCCAUAUGAG